rnacentral:rRNA from 1 species
UACGAAGGGGGCUAGCGUUGCUCGGAAUUACUGGGCGUAAAGGGCGCGUAGGCGGAUAUCUAAGUUGGGGGUGAAAUCCCGGGGCUCAACCUCGGAAUUGCCUUCAAAACUGGAUAUCUUGAGUUCGGGAGAGGUGAGUGGAACUCCGAGUGUAGAGGUGAAAUUCGUAGAUAUUCGGAAGAACACCAGUGGCGAAGGCGGCUCACUGGACUGGUAUUGACGCUGAGGUGCGAAAGCGUGGGGAGCAAACAGG